rnacentral:lncRNA from 1 species
GAGCCCCAAUCAAAGCCAAAUCAAACUCAGUCGACAUAAAUCCGCUAAUCAGCCUCACUUAACUCCCAAAAGCGCAACAAAAGCCACCACCGGAGAACCACAGUCAACAAUAUCUAAAGUCUCAUCAGUAACAAAAACUCUCUCUCCCUUCCAAUCCUUCUCAGAGAAACCAAAACCAAAAGAUCGUCUUAGACAAUGCUAGAUAUAGCAUAAGAAAAAAGAAAAAGUGAGACUACAAACGUACGGAUCUGACUUUCCUUUCUCCAUAACAAGACAAAAAAGCAUACAAGGUAGAGAAACACCAGAGUAAAAAGAAAAACUUUAACCGACCAACGAUGGUAACAGACACAAAUCUAUCUCUAUGGAAGAAGAAAGUUUAGGAAAAGAUGUCAUGGAAUACACAUUAUUUAUUUAAUAAUCGAAAACCCAAAAGGCUAUUUCCAUUUUCCUAAUCGUUACCUGUUGAGGUCUCUCUCUUUCCCUCCAGUGGACAGUGAACUGACUCUGGAUUUUGUUAUUUGUUUUUAUUCUACUCUCGCCGUGUCUUCUUCUGUCUCAAAGGCCAUUCACCUUCCCCAAGCAGUCAAAACACCGGUGGUGAAGAGAAUUUUUAUUUUAUUUAUGGAAAUGAGCUGUCAUGCAGAUACAUUAUGCAUGACCAUUGGAUUACCGAUCUUACCAUGUCAUGCGUAUAUCAUGUUUCACUGCCCCAAUUUUUUUAUUUGCACAAAGGUUUGAUGGCGUGUUGACUUCACGCGUGAAGAAAGGAAGUGUGGAUAGACUGGCUAAUGUUGGCAGCUUUAUUUUGGUAAACGAAGCGCCGCGAGUUGCAACGUACUACGGUACAGUAAAGGAUUUUUUAUUGGCGCUGUAAAUUACAAUGUUGCCACUAACUAC